GACGAACGCUGGCGGCGUGCCUAAUACAUGCAAGUAGAACGCUGAAGGAGGAGCUUGCUUCUCUGGAUGAGUUGCGAACGGGUGAGUAACGCGUAGGUAACCUGCCUGGUAGCGGGGGAUAACUAUUGGAAACGAUAGCUAAUACCGCAUAAUAGCAGUUGUUGCAUGAUAACUGUUUGAAAGGUGCAAUUGCACCACUACCAGAUGGACCUGCGUUGUAUUAGCUAGUUGGUGGGGUAACGGCUCACCAAGGCGACGAUACAUAGCCGACCUGAGAGGGUGAUCGGCGAGACUGGGACUGAGGCACGGCCCAGACUCCUACGGGAGGCAGCAGGAGGGAGUCUUCGGCAAUGGACGGAAGUCUGACCGAGCAACGCCGCGGGAGUGAAGAAGGUUAUCGGAUCGGAAAGCUCUGUUGUAAGAGAAGAACGAGUGUGAGAGUGGAAAGUUCACACUGUGACGGUAUCUGACCAGAAAGGGACGGCUAACUACGUG
rnacentral:rRNA from 1 species